GUGGGGAAUAUUCCGCAAUGGACGAAAGUCUGACGGAGCAACGCCGCGUGAGUGAUGAAGGUUUUCGGACUGUAAAGCUCUGUUGUUUAGGACGAAAGUGCCUGUUGCAAAUAGUUACAGGUAUUGACGGUACUGAACGAGGAAGCCACGGCUAACUACGUGCCAGCAGCCGCGGUAAUACGUAGGUGGCAAGCGUUGUCCGGAAUUAUUGGGCGUAAAGAGCAUGUAGGCGGGAAUCUAAGUCUGUUGUGAAAAUGCGGGGCUCAACCCCGUAUUGCGAUGGAAACUGGGUUUCUUGAGUGCAGGAGAGGAAAGGGGAAUUCCCAGUGUAGCGGUGAAAUGCGUAGAGAUUUGGAAGAACACCAGUGGCGAAGGCGACUUUCUGGACGAUGUCUGACGCUGAGGCGCGAAAGCUAGGGGAGCGAACGGGAUUAGAAACCCCAGUAGUCC
rnacentral:rRNA from 1 species